AGUGAACGCUGGCGGUAGGCCUAACACAUGCAAGUCGAACGGCAGCACAGUAAGAGCUUGCUCUUACGGGUGGCGAGUGGCGGACGGGUGAGGAAUACAUCGGAAUCUACUUUUUCGUGGGGGAUAACGUAGGGAAACUUACGCUAAUACCGCAUACGACCUACGGGUGAAAGCAGGGGAUCUUCGGACCUUGCGCGAUUGAAUGAGCCGAUGUCGGAUUAGCUAGUUGGCGGGGUAAAGGCCCACCAAGGCGACGAUCCGUAGCUGGUCUGAGAGGAUGAUCAGCCACACUGGAACUGAGACACAGUCCAGACUCCUACGGGAGGCAGCAGUGGGGAAUAUUGGACAAUGGGCGCAAGCCUGAUCCAGCCAUACCGCGUGGGUGAAGAAGGCCUUCGUGUUUUAAAGCCCUUUUGUUGGGAAAGAAAAGCAGCAGGUUAAUACCCCGCUGUUCUGACGGUACCCAAAGAAUAAGCACCGGCUAACUUCGUG
rnacentral:rRNA from 1 species